GUGCUUGCUUCAGCAACACAUAUAUGAAAAUUGGAAUGAUACAGAGAAAAUUAGCAUGGCCCCUGUGCAAGGAUGAUGUGUGAAUUCAUGAAAUAUUCCAUAUUAAA